GGUUAGAACCUGGAGUCGAGAAAAGUCUUGUUCGCCGCUGUCUUGUAAUUGGCAAAGUUUUGAUUAUACAAAUGAAUAAUUGUGUCAACUCACCUGUUGUGAUCCACACUGAAGAAAUGGGUUCGUCUCGACUGAGAAUAGCUGGCAACAAUAACUCACUUUGUUUGCGAUUCCCUGAAACUUUUGCCGCACAAAUGUGAACUCCAAUGGAAAGACCUUGGAUUUUACCUGACACAUGUGUUUCUGAUAAGUCUCCCUAUGCAACUUACGGAAACGAGUAUCUGAUGGCGGAAGUUGAGUGUUGUCACCGUUCCAUGUGGACAGACUGGAUACUGGAUCAAUUUUACAUAUUACUGGUGUUGCAGUCACGGGAAUACAUACGCUGGACUGCUGGACUGUUUUGUCUUCUUCACGGGUUAAUACAUUGUGUAAUUCCAAUCCUUCUAGCUGGAAUAGCAGUGAUUGGAAAUUUCCUUCAAAAACUUGGUGGAAAUAACUAGCAAGCAUUUACUUCAAGAAUUGUCCAUGCAUUUCCUUACAAAAACUGAACUAUUUGACUACUGGCCAAUCCAACAACAUCGAUUCCAACCGCCUCAAGGAGACUGUCAAGAUAUAGAGGAUAUGUGGAGCUACAGGCUGCUCUUUUUUUUUAGCAAUUUGCUGUCAGCUGUCAAAAUUAUCGUAGACUCUUGUACUGAGUUAACUCAGUCGUACUCUGGUCGUACUUGUGCCGUCAACUGGACCAAAACGAAAAAAAAUUAAAGUUCGUAUCAUCACCUGUCUACACAAAUUUCCUGGAGGGAUGGAUUCCAGAAUAUUCCAUUGACACAUCAUGAAAAAAACAACUUGUGGAAUCCGUGGGAUCACUCUCAAAAUCAGGGCAUCAAUGAUCAAUCUUCCCAAUGGAAUCAGGCCUGGUGUUUUAAUCGUAAACUUCUACCUGGCGUUUGAUGCGGGCAUUUGCAUCUGCAUUCACCAUAUUACGGUAGAAUUGAUUCAGUUUUUUCAAUCUGCUAGUAAACUUCAGCAAAUGAUUUCUUGAAGUACUUAUUUGCUUUAGUCGUAUCGUAACUGGAAAAUAAAAUAAGAAUUUGUUUCCGAUUUA
rnacentral:lncRNA from 1 species